rnacentral:rRNA from 1 species
GACGAACGCUGGCGGCGUGCUUAACACAUGCAAGUCGAGCGGAAAGGCCCUGCUUUUGUGGGGUGCUCGAGUGGCGAACGGAUGAGUAACACGUGAUUAACCUGCCCUUGACUUUGGUAUAACUUCAGGAAACUGGUGCUAAUACCUGAUAGGAGCUCCUGCUGCAUGGUGUGGGUUGGAAAGUUUCGGCGGUUGGGGAUGGCCUCGCGUCUUAUCAGCUUGUUGGUGGGGUAGUGGCUUACCAAGGCUUUGACGGGUAGCCGGCCUGAGAGGGUGACCGGCCACAUUGGGACUGAGAUACGGCCCAGACUCCUACGGGAGGCAGCAGUGGGGAAUAUUGCACAAUGGGCGGAAGCCUGAUGCAGCAACGCCGCGUGCGGGAUGACGGCCUUCGGGUUGUAAACCGCUUUCGCCUGUGACGAAGCGUGAGUGACGGUAAUGGGUAAAGAAGCACCGGCUAACUACGUG